rnacentral:rRNA from 1 species
ACACAUGCAAGUCGNACGGCNGCAUGAGCUAGCUUGCUAGAUUGAUGGCGAGUGGCGAACGGGUGAGUAAUACAUCGGAACGUGCCCUGUAGUGGGGGAUAACUAGUCGAAAGAUUAGCUAAUACCGCAUACGACCUGAGGGUGAAAGUGGGGGACCGCAAGGCCUCAUGCUAUAGGAGCGGCCGAUGUCUGAUUAGCUAGUUGGUGAGGUAAAGGCUCACCAAGGCGACGAUCAGUAGCUGGUCUGAGAGGACGAUCAGCCACACUGGGACUGAGACACGGCCCAGACUCCUACGGGAGGCAGCAGUGGGGAAUUUUGGACAAUGGGCGAAAGCCUGAUCCAGCAAUGCCGCGUGUGUGAAGAAGGCCUUCGGGUUGUAAAGCACUUUUGUCCGGAAAGAAAUGGCUCUGGUUAAUACCUGGGGUCGAUGACGGUACCGGAAGAAUAAGGACCGGCUAACUACGUGCCAGCAGCCGCGGUAAUACGUAGGGUCCAAGCGUUAAUCGGAAUUACUGGGCGUAAAGCGUGCGCAGGCGGUUGUGCAAGACCGAUGUGAAAUCCCCGAGCUUAACUUGGGAAUUGCAUUGGUGACUGCACGGCUAGAGUGUGUCAGAGGGGGGUAGAAUUCCACGUGUAGCAGUGAAAUGCGUAGAGAUGUGGAGGAAUACCGAUGGCGAAGGCAGCCCCCUGGGAUAACACUGACGCUCAUGCACGAAAGCGUGGGGAGCAAACAGGAUUAGAUACCC